rnacentral:rRNA from 1 species
AACGAACGCUGGCGGCGUGCCUAACACAUGCAAAUCGAACGGGAUUAAGGAGCUUGCUCCUUAAUCUAGUGGCGCACGGGUGAGUAACGCGUAGAUAAUCUGCCUGAUGAUCUGGAAUAACACUUCGAAAGGGGUGCUAAUACCGGAUAAGCCCACGAGUACUUUGGUGCUUGCGGGAAAAGGAGGGGACCUUUUGGCCUUCCGUCAUCAGAUGAGUCUGCGUACCAUUAGCUAGUUGGUAGGGUAAAGGCCUACCAAGGCGACGAUGGUUAGCUGGUCUGAGAGGAUGAUCAGCCACACUGAACUGAGACACGGUCCAGACUCCUACGGGAGGCAGCAGUGGGGAAUUUUGCGCAAUGGGCGAAAGCCUGACGCAGCAACGCCGCGUGAGUGAUGAAGGCUUUCGGGUCGUAAAGCUCUGUCAGGGGGAAAGAAGUGUAUUGUGGUUAAUACCCAUGAUACUUGACGGUACCCCCAAAGGAAGCACCGGCUAACUCCGUGCCAGCCGCCGCGGUAA